rnacentral:ncRNA from 1 species
UCGAUAGAGGCGCGGGACGCAUGAUUAACGCCGUCGAGUCCGCCGGGGACACCGACGCGGCGCGAAAGGGCUUGCCGCCGAAAUCCGCGAGACGCCGGCGCUCCUGCGGGUUGGGGGACCGGGAAACACGCGGUCCACUGUCACAAAGUCAUUUGUGGAGCGCUAUCU